AUGAGAAUAUGAUGUUGAUUCAGAUUAAAUGCUAGAUAGAGACAUAACACAUGCUAGUUAAAUUAUAUUUAGCGUACAGGUGAGUGAAAAUAUAUUUUCUUUAAUAAAUUUUAAAGAACAAAUUAAUUUAAUUUAAUUUGAAAAAAUAUUAAUCAGAUGUAGGUAUUAAACAAAAGUUUAGCCUUAGAACUGGAACUAAUAAUUAACGUUAGAAUAGUCACAUUAAAGUAAAAUUUAACAUCUACAAGAUGCUGCAGUGAGGAAUAUUUGACAAUGGUCUAACGACUGAUCAAGUUAUCUAUUAUAGAGAAAAUUAUUAUUAUUUUUUUUAUUUUUCGAAAUAAAAAAGUAAAUUAUUAAAUAAAAGAAGAACUAUAAAUCUAAAAAUAUAUUUAAAAUAAUGAUUGAAUAUAUAAAGUCCUAACUAAAAUAUGUGCCAGCAGCUGCGGUUAAACAUAGAGGGCAAGCAUUAAUCAUAUUGGCUUAAAGAAUCAGUAGUACGAUAUUAUUUUUAUUAAUUUAAUUAAUUAAUAAAAUUAUUAGAAUUUAUAAAAAGUUAUAAGAAAUUGUAUACAAGGGAUGAAAUCCAGUGAAAAUAUAAAGACUGCAAAGAGAUAACAAAUUAUAAAUUGACGUUGUGAGAUGAAGGCUAAGGUAGCGAUAUGGAAUAGUAUCCCAUGUAGUCUUAGCAGUUAACUAUGAAUACUAUAUAUAAAAAAAUGAAAAUGAAAAGUAUUCCGCCAGAAUAGUACGCUCGCAAGAGUGAAAUACAAGACAUUAGACGGUUAUAGUAACCAGUAGUGGAAUAUGUCGUUUAAUUGGAUGAUCCGCCAUUAACCUUACCAUCUUUUGAAUUUUAAACAGGUGUUACAUCAUUGUCGUCAGUUCAUGCCCCGAGGUUUUAUAUUAAGUUAUAGAAUGAACGUAAUCCUUAAUUUAUUAUAUAAUAAAUAAAGUAUCUUUGUAAUUAAAGAUAGGAAGAAGAGGAUGAAGACUAAUCCGGAUGACCCUUAUAAGAUGGGUAACAGACGUAUUACAAGAUUGUAAACAAUAGUAUUAAUAUUGAUAUUUAAUUAAUAUAAAUUACAUUAUUUUUUUAUGGAUCAUAAACUGAAAUUCGUUUAUGUGAAGGAGGAAUUACUAGUAAUCACUGAGUAGUGUGCAGUGGUGAAACUUAUAACUAUUUCGUACUAACCACUCAUCAAUAGGAAGAAAUAAGAAGUAAAACCGCCUAUAUUUUUUUUAUUUUAUUAUCCUUUGGAUUUAAAAUAUACCCUAGUUAACACUAGGAUAAUACAGGCACUUUGAAAAUUAUGACCUCCUGUAAGUUGAAAUACGGUUCGAUUAGGGGAACCUGAUCGGGAUUUA